rnacentral:lncRNA from 1 species
CGGGACUGGAGGCUGGGGUGUCCUCUAAGACCCUCUCUCCCUUCCAGAUCUCUCUGUUCCGUGCGGAUCCUGCCAGAGCCCGCGUGAUCAUCGCCUCCCACACCCCUCCCUCCCUGACCUGGCCAGUCUCUUCUCCCAGGGAGGAACUUUGCGGAGGGGUCAGUGUUGGGAACCCUGGGGUCCUCCGCCGCCUCCUGAUCUUCCGCCAGUCCCGCCACUCCUCCGCCCUGGGCGUGCCUUCCGCAGGUGAACCUGAAGGUGCGUCUGCAAUGCUGCUGUUGCAUUCUCGUUCUUGUAGAUUCUUCUUCUAUUCUCUCUCUUUGCCUUCCGUUUCACCCAGCACCCACUUUUCCUACGCUGCUCUGAAGAAGUUCUCUAUCUUCUGUCUCAGGCUCUCCGUGCGUCCUUUCACUCGUCUUCACC